ACCCGAGACUCAGUGAAAUUGAACUCGCUGUGAAGAUGCAGUGUACCCGCGGCAAGACGGAAAGACCCCGUGAACCUUUACUACAGCUUGACACUGAACAUUGAGCCUUGAUGUGUAGGAUAGGUGGGAGGCUUUGAAGCGUGGACGCCAGUCUGCGUGGAGCCGACCUUGAAAUACCACCCUUUAAUGUUUGAUGUUCUAACCUGGCGCCGUGAUCCGGCGUGGGGACAGUGUCUGGUGGGUAGUUUGACUGGGGCGGUCUCCUCCCAAAGUGUAACGGAGGAGCACGAAGGUCAGCUAAUCCUGGUCGGACAUCAGGAGGUUAGUGCAAUGGCAUAAGCUGGCUUGACUGCGAGAGUGACGGCUCGAGCAGGUGCGAAAGCAGGUCAUAGUGAUCCGGUGGUUCUGUAUGGAAGGGCCAUCGCUCAACGGAUAAAAGGUACUCCGGGGAUAACAGGCUGAUACCGCCCAAGAGUUCAUAUCGACGGCGGUGUUUGGCACCUCGAUGUCGGCUCAUCACAUCCUGGGGCUGAAGUAGGUCCCAAGGGUAUGGCUGUUCGCCAUUUAAAGUGGUACGCGAGCUGGGUUUAGAACGUCGUGAGAC
rnacentral:rRNA from 1 species